CCCCCUGUCCCCCAUUAUGGGAGCUGAGCGUCACUCGAGCCUGGUGUGAUUGGCCGGGUGGGUGACCCCCCCCCCCCUCCCUCUUCGCGGGGUCCAAAACCUUUUUACCCUUCUUUUUCUCAUUUCCCCUCCAAUCCCAUCGUCCCCGUCAUUAAACCCCGCCCCCAAUACCCCAAAAAUGAGGGCGAGCUGCAGGGAUUCCUGCCAACCGGCCGACUUCCUCCAACAUGGCCGCUUCCCCGCCAACAGGCCGACAAAAAAGCUCCGCGCCAUAAAGCACCGGAACAGAAGAAGAGGAAAUAACAGCCCCACCCCCCCUAACUGGCCGAUAGGAACAUGGCCCCGCCCCCAACUGGCCAACAGGAACAUGGCCCCGCCCCCAACUGGCCAAUAGGAACGUGGCCCCACCUCAACUGGCCAAUAGGAACGUAGCCCCACCUCAACUGGCCAAUAGGAACGUGGCCCUGCCCCCAACUGGCCAAUAGCAACGUGACCCCCCCUCAACUGGCCAAUAGGAACAUGACCCCGCCCCCAACCGGCCAACGUUUUGAGAGAAGUUUUUUUCACACUUAUAGCAAAAAAUAUAUAAAAAAAUAUAUAUUUAAGAGUUUAAAAAAGUAUUUUGAGAUUUUUUUUUGCUAUUGGUACGAAAACUUUUUCUCUCAAAUAAUUUUUUUCUACUGCGUGUAACAAAGAAACAUUUCUAUCUCCAUGCAUCUCUAUCCUGUCAUACCCCCCCCCCCCCCCCCCCCCCCCGCCCCCCCCCCAACAGAUCAACAGUACUGUACCACGAGCUGGACGGACAAAUGGCAAGCUCUUAUUUUGGAGGGGCGGGUUAUUAUCUUCCUGCAGCAGGCGGACCGCUUUAAAAAAAUACUUUCAGAUGUUAUUUUGACUUCUGUCUAUCAGCCUACCUGUCUACCUGUCCGUCUACCUGUCUGUCUACCUGUCUGUCUAUCAGCCUACCUGUCUACCUGUCCGUCUACCUGUCUGUCUACCAGCCUACCUGUCUACCUGUCUGUCUACCUGUCUGUCUAUCUGUCUGUCCACCUGUCUGUCCACCUGUCUGUCUACCUGUCCACCUGUCUGUCCACCUGUCUACCUGUCUGUCCACCUGUCUAUCAGCCUACCUGUCUACCUGUCUGUCUGUCUAUCAGCCUACCUGUCUGUCUGUCUGUCUACCUGUCUACCUGUCCACCUGUUUGUCCACCUGUCUGUCCACCCUUCUGUCUACCUGCCUGUCUAUCAGCUUGCCUGUCUACCUGUCUGUCUGUCCGUCUACAUGUCCAUCUACAUGUCCGUCUACCCACUUGUCUACCUGCCUGUAUACCUACCUGUCUACCUGUCUACCUGUCUGUCCACCUGUCUACCUGUCCACCUGUCUGUCUGCGGCGGGCCAUGACAUCAAGUGCCUUCAGACUCCGAGGAGAAGAUCCGGACGCAGACUCAGAACCUUUGGACGUUUCUUCUUAAAGGGCCGGGACGAACACCGAUGUUUCCUGGUGAGAUUAUGCAGAGAAUUAGUUUCUCACAGAUAUUUCUUUAAUUAGAUGAAAAACAUGUUAAUGACUAGAGGAUUCCGGGAUACGGAAGCCAAGAAGACGUGGCAUCGAAGACGCCGUGGACAGGAAGUGGACAUUUGGACACAGAACAGAAAGCUCCUUACAUUUAUUUAACAAUUGCAAUCACAAUCGGAGGAGCUGGGACUGGAUAUUUCAAAAUAAAAGACUUCCGGUUCGGGGGAUUUUUCAGCCCCGGGUCAACGGGAUUCAAGCAUUUGUUCUCUCAGAACUAUUUUAGUAUUUCAAAAUAAGAGUUUCCAGAGACUUUGACUCUGCCGGAGUUACUUCAAAAACAGCUGGAGCCUUUUGGGAAAAGGCCGAAAAAUGUAUGUAAUCAAAUCUUCUAUUGCUCCUAUGGUAUUAUAAAGAGGGAGUCCGUUUCUUUUCCUCUUAUAUUUCAGUUUUGACGCUUUCUUUACACCUUAAGUUCAGGUUUUAUUUUUUUAUCCCUGCAAAAAAGUUGUGAAAGAUCUAAAAAAUCUAGAUGAUAUGUAUUGUUUAAGUUUUUGGUUUCAGGGAGUCGAUGGUUUCCAGAUUUGCUGAUAAAACAUUUCUACUAAAAACAAGUUACAUGGUGAGGGUUCAUUUAAAAAAAUAAAA